UGGGGAAUAUUGGACAAUGGGCGAAAGCCUGAUCCAGCCAUGCCGCGUGUGUGAAGAAGGUCUUCGGAUUGUAAAGCACUUUAAGUUGGGAGGAAGGGCAGUAAGCGAAUACCUUGCUGUUUUGACGUUACCGACAGAAUAAGCACCGGCUAACUCUGUGCCAGCAGCCGCGGUAAUACAGAGGGUGCAAGCGUUAAUCGGAAUUACUGGGCGUAAAGCGCGCGUAGGUGGUUCGUUAAGUUGAAUGUGAAAGCCCCGGGCUCAACCUGGGGACGGCAUCCGAAACUGGCGAGCUAGAGUAGGGCAGAGGGUGGUGGAAUUUCCUGUGUAGCGGUGAAAUGCGUAGAUAUAGGAAGGAACACCAGUGGCGAAGGCGACCACCUGGGCUCAUACUGACACUGAGGUGCGAAAGGGUGGGGAGCAAACAGG
rnacentral:rRNA from 1 species